rnacentral:rRNA from 1 species
UACGUAGGGGGCUAGCGUUGUCCGGAAUCAUUGGGCGUAAAGAGCGUGUAGGCGGCUCGGUAAGUCCGCUGUGAAAGUCCAGGGCUCAACCCUGGAAUGCCGGUGGAAACUGUCGAGCUAGAGUCCGGAAGAGGCGAGUGGAAUUCCUGGUGUAGCGGUGAAAUGCGCAGAUAUCAGGAGGAACACCGAUGGCGAAGGCAGCUCGCUGGGACGGUACUGACGCUGAGACGCGAAAGCGUGGGUAGCAAACAGG